AGCGAACGCUGGCGGCAGGCCUAACACAUGCAAGUCGAACGAACUCUUCGGAGUUAGUGGCGGACGGGUGAGUAACACGUGGGAACGUGCCUUUAGGUUCGGAAUAACUCAGGGAAACUUGUGCUAAUACCGAAUGUGCCCUUCGGGGGAAAGAUUUAUCGCCUUUAGAGCGGCCCGCGUCUGAUUAGCUAGUUGGUGAGGUAAAGGCUCACCAAGGCGACGAUCAGUAGCUGGUCUGAGAGGAAGAUCAGCCACAUUGGGACUGAGACACGGCCCAAACUCCUACGGGAGGCAGCAGUGGGGAAUCUUGCGCAAUGGGCGAAAGCCUGACGCAGCCAUGCCGCGUGAAUGAUGAAGGUCUUAGGAUUGUAAAAUUCUUUCACCGGGGACGAUAAUGACGGUACCCGGAGAAGAAGCCCCGGCUAACUUCGUG
rnacentral:rRNA from 1 species